CGCGUAGGCGGUUCGCUAAGUGGCUGGUGAAAUCCCGGGGCUCAACUCCGGGGCUGCCGGUCAGACUGGCGGACUAGAGCACGGUAGAGGCGGAUGGAAUUCCCGGUGUAGCGGUGGAAUGCGUAGAUAUCGGGAAGAAUACCGGUGGCGAAGGCGUUCCGCUGGGCCGUUGCUGACGCUGAGGCGCGACAGCGUGGGGAGCAAACA
rnacentral:rRNA from 1 species